AAAUGUAACCCGUAAAUUGACUUACAACACACACACACACACACACACACACACACACACACACACACACACACACACACACACACACACACACACACACACACACACACACACACACACACACACAGUUAGUUAUAUCCUAGCUCGUCCGCGCCAUUAAUUGCAAUAAUUACGAGUAAUUAAUACUUAGGUCUCUAUACAUAAGUUGUGGGCAAAUGUUGAGACUCGUCCACCUGGUAACACCUCUCCAUUCUCUUUCGCAGAUCAAAAUGAUAUAUUGAAUAUCUCUAGACGAAAUGAGAAGAAAUUCAUCGUUGUGUGUUGUUCCGUGAUCAACCAAUUGCAAUUAAAAGUAUAGAAAAAUAACGUGUUAUCAGAUGACGGACUUCAAUCAGACGACGCGUUAUGUUAAGGAUCGAGUCAAAGGGCCAUCCGGAGCAAAUCCCACGUUCCACGGGGUGUCCCGCAAAUCCAGCAUCAUUAGGUCGUUAUCGAUGCAUUGUAACAUCCUGAACAUCAUGUAACUUGAUUGCAUAAAGUAAAACUCUGCGCAUUGAAAAUAAUAGUGAACUAUUGAACAGAUUGUAUUAUAUAAAAGCUUUCGUAUGCCUUACCCUUUUAAUUCCUUUCCUUACGAUGCUGGACCCGUGACGACACAUCCUGCGUAUACGUGAAUGUAUAUAGAACUCCCUGCGUCUCCUGCCAGCCCCCGCGCGAGUCCUCCGUACAAUCGUUCUCGUCAAGAGGUUACUCGCAUACCAAAGUUUCCAUUCAAGUCGGAGCUUUGGCUAAAGCGUCGUUCUCUUUCUCUUUUCCCUCAUUUUUCUUUUUUUCUUUUUUUACGGACUAUCCUGUGUCGCACAGCAACGCGGAAGUCCUACACCGUAUUCACAGAAUAUAAGAUACACGUAUAUAAGUAGAUACACAUCGUGCCUCGACACGUCGGUCGAUACUAUAUUGUAAAUCUGUUUAACACGCAGAAAAAAGUGUCGUGGAGCUUUCUCGGGUUUAAGAUACCUAGAACGAUUUUUAUAAGCUCAUUCCUCUCCUCCCGAAAAUCUGUCGUCUCUUUACGCGCAAACAAGCCGCUUAUUAUAACUUCUCUCGCCUUCGUCCCUCAUCUUCGUCAAAACUCGGAAUAUUUGCAUUGUUCGGUCUUAACUUCUACUUACAUGAUACACUAUUGUUUCUCGCGAAUGCAACGAAUUAGGUAAACACGAAGUCUCACCGUUCGAGGUACGACCGAUGCCUCUGCUUUUCGCUUCCUCUUUUUUUUCUCUUUUAGUCUCUCUAAAUCAAUUUCUCAGCGCGUGUUUCAACGAGAGUUUCCGAUGGAAGCGAGGGUCUUUUUUUCUCUUCUGCGAGUUUUAUCAUACGCAAGACAAACACCUGUAUCGGUCUUAGUUCGCAGUGGAAUUUCGUGUUUGCCAAACCAUAGAAAUGUAAAGCGAACUCAGUCUUUGGUUGGAGCGAUCUUCGAAAUCUCGAUUCUCGACGUUUUAUUUAAAUUUAAUGGCUAUCGGAUUAUUACCUUUAACAUUAAUAAAUUUUAUAUAAAAAUCCAUAUACAUCUAUAUCUUGUUUUUAAAGCGUGUCUCAACUAAAAUAAAACAGAUCGCCUCCCUCUCUUUACAAAUACGCUCUCGAAUCUUUGUUUUUCAUUUUCACCUUUUUUCGUUCACAUAAAGUCGCUCGUUCUUCUCAAAGUCAUUUGGCGGAAGAAUGUAUGCUUCUUUCGUUUUCAGGGCGUCGCUAGAAAUCUCGGUAGCAGCAUAUAUACGGCAGCUGUACAUACGAUGUUUCUGUGUGUGUGUGUGUGUGUGUGUGUGUUUAUGUUUCACGACAAGCAGAUAACGUUUAUAAAAGCUAGACGCUCUACGAGUACACGAGAGCAAACAGAGUGGAGAGAGCGGAGGAAUUACGAUUUUCGCGCGCAGCAGUGAAUCUGAGAAAAACGAGAGAAAUGACGAAGUAUAUAAAGAGUUAUAUGUACAAACACAUCUCACAAAACGGAUCUUACACGGAAAAAAAGAAUACGCCCCAAAUAUACAGGCGAAAGUGUGAAGAUCUUAACAAAAAAAAAAAAAA